AUCGGGGUGGUGAAGGACGCCACGGAGUCGACGGCGCGCGUGGAGCUGCACUCGACCUGUCAGACCAUCUCCGUGGACAGGCAGCGCCUGACCACCGUGGGGUCGCGGCGCCCCGGGGGUCUCACCUCGGCCUACGGGAGGACCCCCAUGUACGGCUCGCAGACCCCCAUGUACGGCUCGGGCUCCCGAACCCCCAUGUACGGCUCACAGACCCCGCUGCACGACGGAAGCCGCACCCCCCACUACGGCUCCCAGACCCCCCUGCACGACGGGAGCAGAACCCCGGCCCAGAGCGGGGCCUGGGACCCCAACAACCCCAACACCCCCUCCAGGUGAGACUGACAACACCCUGACAACACCCUGACAGCACCCUGACAGCCCCAACACCCCCUCCAGGUGAGACUGACAACACCCUGACAACACCCUGACAACCCCAACACCCCCUCCAGGGGAGACUGACAACACCCUGACAACACCCUGACAACCCCAACACCCCCUCCAGGUGUGACUGACAACACCAUAACACCCU